GGCGCAGCAGGCGCGAAAACUCCGCAAUGCGCGUAAGCGUGACGGGGCCACCCCGAGUGCCGUCCGCUGAGGAUGGCUUUUCCCCGGUCUAACCAGCCGGGGGAAUAAGGAGAGGGCAAGUCUGGUGUCAGCCGCCGCGGUAAUACCAGCUCUCCGAGUGGUAGGGAUGAUUAUUGGGCUUAAAGCGUCCGUAGCUGGCCUUUCAAGUCUCUUGUUAAAUCCAGCGAUUCAAUCGUUGGACUGCGGGAGAUACUGUUAGGCUAGGGGGCGGGAGAAGCCGACGGUAUUUCCGGGGUAGGGGUAAAAUCCUAUAAUCCCGGGAAGACCACCAGUGGCGUAGGCGGUCGGCUAGCACGCGCUCGACAGUGAGGGACGAAAGCUGGGGUAGCGAACCGGAUUAGAUACCCCGGUAGUCC
rnacentral:rRNA from 1 species